UACGUAUGGGGCGAGCGUUAUCCGGAUUCACUGGGUGUAAAGGGGGCGCAGGCGGUUAUGCAAGUCCGGCGUGAAAACCCGCGGCUCAACUGCGGGACUGCGCUGGAAACUGUAAAACUAGAGUGUCGGAGGGGCAGGCGGAAUUCCUGGUGUAGCGGUGAAAUGCAUAGAUAUCAGGAGGAACACCGGUGGCGAAGGCGGCCUGCUGGACGAAUACUGACGCUGAGACCCGAAAGCGUGGGGAG
rnacentral:rRNA from 1 species